AUUGAACGCUGGCGGCAGGCUUAACACAUGCAAGUCGAGCGGAGAUGAGGUGCUUGCACCUUAUCUUAGCGGCGGACGGGUGAGUAAUGCUUAGGAAUCUGCCUAUUAGUGGGGGACGACAUUCCGAAAGGAAUGCUAAUACCGCAUACGCCCUACGGGGGAAAGCAGGGGAUCUUCGGACCUUGCGCUAAUAGAUGAGCCUAAGUCGGAUUAGCUAGUUGGUGGGGUAAAGGCCUACCAAGGCGACGAUCUGUAGCGGGUCUGGGAGGAUGAUCCGCCACACUGGGACUGAGACACGGCCCAGACUCCUACGGGAGGCAGCAGUGGGGAAUAUUGGACAAUGGGCGGAAGCCUGAUCCUGCCAUGCCGCGUGUGUGAAGAAGGCCUUUUGGUUGUAAAGCACUUUAAGCGAGGAGGAGGCUACCUGGAUUAAUACUCUAGGAUAGUGGACGUUACUCGCAGAAUAAGCACCGGCUAACUCUGUGCCAGCAGCCGCCGUAACAC
rnacentral:rRNA from 1 species